rnacentral:rRNA from 1 species
CGUGCUUAACACAUGCAAGUCGACGAAGCACUUCCAUUGAUUCUUCGGAUGACGUGGAUUGACUGAGUGGCGGACGGGUGAGUAACGCGUGGAUAACCUGCCUGUAUCUGGGGGAUAACAGUUAGAAAUGACUGCUAAUACCGCAUAAGCGCACAUGACCGCAUGGUCGAGUGUGAAAAACUCCGGUGGAUACAGAUGGAUCCGCGUUAGAUUAGCCAGUUGCGGGGUAACGGCCCACCAAAGCGACGAUCUAUAGCCGGCCUGAGAGGGCGACCGGCCACAUUGGGACUGAGACACGGCCCAAACUCCUACGGGAGGCAGCAGUGGGGAAUAUUGCACAAUGGGGGAAACCCUGAUGCCAGCGACGCCGCGUGAGUGAAGAAGUAUUUCGGUAUGUAAAGCUCUAUCAGCAGGGAAGAAAAUGACGGUACCUGACUAAGAAGCCCCGGCUAACUACGUGCCAGCCGCGGC